UGGAAGUAUGGUUGAGAAUGAGAGGCCCUCUUCUGUGGCUGAAAGUGAAUUAGGCUUAUUGAGGCAAAGGCAUACAGUCUCCGGUCUGAGGGAAGGGUUCUCCAGACUGGAUAAUUCUGUUUGUGCUCAAGCAAGCAGCAGUCUUUUUGAUACAUCUAACUAGGAUAAUAUUUCAAAUCGAAAUGGAGAACCUCAAGAAAAUAACUUAUAUGAAGUCAGAGAUGAUAUUUGCGAACAAUCAGAACUUAAUUAUGAAGCGAGUGAAGAUCAAGAACAUGACAGCCGUGGAAUAUUGGAUGGUCGGAGUGAGUUUGGAAGCAAUGCUGUUGAAGAUAUAGAAUCACGGGAAUCAAAUGCUCAUAUUAUAGAAGGAUGGCAGGAACAAGUGCCAGAUAAUGUGAAAAAUACUACUGGUGAAUGGGCCCAUCAUACAUUGCAUGUUGGUGUUGAAGAACGUAGGAAUAUUCUGGAAGCCAGUUAUGCAGCCAAUGAUGAAUCCAAGCCAAGAAGGGAGUCAAAUGACUACCAUCAUCUAUCCGGUCCUGCAGAUAAUUUAGAAGGUUACACA